AUUGAACGCUGGCGGCAUGCUUUACACAUGCAAGUCGAACGGUAACAGGCCGCAAGGUGCUGACGAGUGGCGCACGGGUGAGUAAUGCAUCGGAACGUGCCCAGUCGUGGGGGAUAACUACUCGAAAGAGUAGCUAAUACCGCAUACGAUCUAUGGCUGAAAGCGGGAGACCGUAAGGCCUUGCGCGAUUGGAGCGGCCGAUGUCAGAUUAGGUAGCUGGUGGGGUAAAGGCUCACCAAGCCAACGAUCUGUAGCUGGUCUGAGAGGACGACCAGCCACACUGGGACUGAGACACGGCCCAGACUCCUACGGGAGGCAGCAGUGGGGAAUUUUGGACAAUGGGCGCAAGCCUGAUCCAGCAAUGCCGCGUGCAGGAAGAAGGCCUUCGGGUUGUAAACUGCUUUUGUACGGAACGAAACGGCUCUGGUUAAUACCCGGGGCUAAUGACGGUACCGUAAGAAUAAGCACCGGCUAACUACGUG
rnacentral:rRNA from 1 species